rnacentral:rRNA from 1 species
UUCUCCUGGAAAACGGGUGGUAAUGCCGGAUGUUCCACAUGAUCGCAUGUGAUUGUGGGAAAGAUUCUAUCGGCGUGGGAUGGGGUCGCGUCCUAUCAGCUUGUUGGUGAGGUAACGGCUCACCAAGGCUUCGACGGGUAGCCGGCCUGAGAGGGCGACCGGCCACAUUGGGACUGAGAUACGGCCCAGACUCCUACGGGAGGCAGCAGUGGGGAAUAUUGCACAAUGGGCGCAAGCCUGAUGCAGCGACGCCGCGUGAGGGAUGGAGGCCUUCGGGUUGUAAACCUCUUUUGUUUGGGAGCAAGCCUUCGGGUGAGUGUACCUUUCGAAUAAGCGCCGGCUAACUACGUGCCAGCAGCCGCGGUAAUACGUAGGGCGCAAGCGUUAUCCGGAUUUAUUGGGCGUAAAGGGCUCGUAGGCGGCUCGUCGCGUCCGGUGUGAAAGUCCAUCGCUUAACGGUGGAUCUGCGCCGGGUACGGGCGGGCUGGAGUGCGGUAGGGGAGACUGGAAUUCCCGGUGUAACGGUGGAAUGUGUAGAUAUCGGAAAAA